rnacentral:tRNA from 1 species
GGCGGAUUGUCGUUAGGUGGUGAUUCGCAGCGGUUUUGUAAACCGCAGGUCGUCGGUUCGAAUCCGACCGGUG